rnacentral:rRNA from 1 species
UACGGGGGGGGCAAGCGUUGUUCGGAAUUACUGGGCGUAAAGGGCUCGUAGGUGGCCAACUAAGUCAGACGUGAAAUCCCUCGGCUUAACCGGGGAACUGCGUCUGAUACUGGAUGGCUUGAGUUCGGGAGAGGGAUGCGGAAUUCCAGGUGUAGCGGUGGAAUGCGUAGAGAUCCGGAGGAAGACCGGUGGCGAAGGCGGUCUGCUGGGCAGUUUCUGACACUGAUGCGCGACAGCGUGGGGAGCAAACAGG